UGGCAUCGAUGUCGAAGGUCACCUCGAUC
rnacentral:piRNA from 1 species